GCCGCGCCCACUUCUCGCGAGAGGUUCGCGCCUGCCCGGGAAGGUUCUCAGAGGCGGAAGUGGGGUAGCGGAAGCGGCGUUGCCAUGGAGUCAGCGGAGGACUGGCUGGUGGAAUCCUUGCGCUUGUACCAAGAUUUCCAUGCAUUCGACCUUUCCGAAGCCACACGAGUCCUUGAAUGGAUUGAUGACAAAGGAGUCUGUGUUGCUGGCUAUGAAAGCCUGAAAAAAAAUGAGAUUCUUCAUCUGUUACUACCUCUCAGACUUUCUGUAAAAGAAAACCAGGGCUUAUUCCCAGAAAGAGAUUUCAAGGUACGCCACGGAGGAUUUUCAGACACGUCUGUCUUUGAUCUGAAGCACGUGCUGGACACAAGGUUGCUGGUAACCAGUGGUCUUCCAGGUUGUCACCUGCAUGUGUGGCAGGUGACAGAGGACAGUGACGUCAUUCAGGCUGUCGGCACCAUUGCCGUGCAGGAGGAGGAGGGGAAUCUCUGGCCUAGGGUGGCCAUCUUCUCUUCGACGGCCCCCGGGGUUCUGCACGGGGCGAGGCUCCGCGGUCUGAAGGUUGUGGAUCUGGAAACUCAGAAGACCACGUACUCCUCAGGGGUCGGCGACAGUGAGGAGCUGAGCAGCCUGCAGGUCCUGGACGCAGACACCUUUGCCUUCUGCUGUGCCUCGGGCCGGCUGGGGCUCGUCGACAUCCGCCAGAAGUGGGCGCCGUCAGAGAAUGCCGGCCCCGACCCCGGGGCCGCUGCAAGGAGGUGGUGUGCUGAAGUUGGGGGCCGACGCCGGGGCCCUGGGCCCAGCAUUGCCAGCCUUGGCUCAGACGGGCAGCUCCGUCUCCUUGAUCCCCGGGAUCUCUGCCACCCUGUGAGCUCGGGGCGGUGCCCCGUGUCCGCACCGAGCCCCGCCCCAGAGCUGCUGCGAGUGACCUGGGCUCCAGGCCUGGACGACUGCCUGGCUAUUUCAGGUUUUGAUGGGACAGUCCAGGUCUAUGAUGCCACAUCUUGGGACGGAACGGGGGGCCAAGUAGAACCUGUCUUCACUCACAGAGGUCACAUCUUCCUGGAAGACCAUCAGACAGAUACUGCGCCACUGGUCACUACCCACACCUGGCACCCCCACAAGCCGAGGACCUUGUUAUCGGCAGCAAGCGACGCCUCUCUGCACGUGUGGGACUGGGUGGACCACCGUGCGGCCUGCUGACUCCAGCCUCUCCCUGCCCAGGCCUCUAAGAAGAGAAGGAGCUACCGGAGAGCCAAGUUUAACAGUGAAGUCGAGGGAACAUUACAUUUUGGAGUUUAAAAUACACAGUUUCAAGAUGUGAUCAUUUUUACCAUUUUGUGAAGUCUUCUACUCCUUUCCCCCACGCCCCCUCGAGAGCUGAUUCUGUUCUCUUCUCAGCCCUGUUCAGUUAUGUCACAUCAGCAGUUUGAAAAUGGCCAAAAUGGAAAUAUUUAACCCCACAGAAAUUGGCCAAUACUGCAGCAUACCACUGUCUAAGCUAUAUUAUGUCACCAAGUAAAAGCAGAAAUGAGUUAUUUUAGAAAAUAGUAGAGUUAAUGCAUGAAUUGAAAAGCUGUUUUGCUGAAAAAUCCUGAUAAAAUGCAUAUCAAUCAGUCAUCGUCCAGCCAGAGAGCCAAACACCGAAUAAUUCAGUCCUGGGGAUUUAGUUACGAGGCAUCUGAAAGCGGCUGCGAGGGAAGGUGGGGCCCGCGACGUGAGCCACAGCAGGAAGUUACACGGAGGGUUACA